rnacentral:lncRNA from 1 species
GCCUGCAUUUACUAUAUGGUAAUGGUUAGAAUGUUUAGGGUUAGGUGUCUUUAUACAUAUAAGGACACCUUAAAAUAAAGCUUGACCAUACUCUCUAGUACUUCUUUAUUAGUAAUGCUUAAAUUUCACCUUUGUUAUUGUAUGUUUUUAUUUCAGCUGGAAACUGAAAGCCAUGGCUGUAAUAAAUGCAGUGCAGAUCUUCAUGCUGCUGUUGGGCUUCACUGCAGUCUGCCAAACUGAUGCUGAUGGCUGCAAUGUGAGAUGUAAUGAUGUGACUGGAGCUGUGAGGAAAGAAGUGAUGUUCAACUGCAGCUUCUCUGAACAGUGCACUGAUUGCUGUGUUAUAUGGUUUAAGUUUCAGUAUCCUGAGAACUAUAAUUACUCUGACAUCUGUAGAGAAGGGUCUCCUGAUGACCGCUGUAAGAAGAAGAAAACCUUCACAUGCAGAUACACUCCAAAUACAGCAAUGAAGGAAACAUUCAGAUUCUUUGUGCAAACUAAUAGUUCAACAAAAACUGCAGAAUUCACUGUGGAUAUAUCAGAGCAUGAACCACACAUAAAUAAUCCUGGACAAUCUCCUGGACAUGAGAAAACUUCUGUUUCUGCCAUCUCUGCUGGUGUGGGCUGCUUCAUCAUCUUCAUCAUCAUCAUCAUAUUGACCAUCAUUAUCAUCUAUAAAAAGCAGACAGGUGGAUGUCAGAAAAUGAUGUCUCUGUUUACCAGACAGAAGGAUCAUGACAGUGAUUCAGAAAAAGUGCAGAAUCAUUUUGAAGAUUAA